rnacentral:rRNA from 1 species
UACCGCAUAACCAUAGUUACCGCAUGGUAACUAUGUAAAAGGUGGCUAUGCUACCGCUUUUGGAUGGGCCCGCGACGCAUUAGCUAGUUGGUGGGGUAAAGGCUUACCAAGGCAAUGAUGCGUAGCCGAACUGAGAGGUUGAUCGGCCACAUUGGGACUGAGACACGGCCCAAACUCCUACGGGAGGCAGCAGUGGGGAAUCUUCCACAAUGGGCGAAAGCCUGAUGGAGCAACGCCGCGUGGGUGAAGAAGGUCUUCGGAUCGUAAAACCCUGUUGUUAGAGAAGAAAGUGCGUGAGAGUAACUGUUCACGUUUCGACGGUAUCUAACCAGAAAGCCACGGCUAACUACGUGCCAGCAGCCGCGGUAAUACGUAGGUGGCAAGCGUUAUCCGGAUUUAUUGGGCGUAAAGAGAACGCAGGCGGUCUUUUAAGUCUGAUGUGAAAGCCUUCGGCUUAACCGGAGUAGUGCAUUGGAAACUGGGAGACUUGAGUGCAGAAGAGGAGAGUGGAACUCCAUGUGUAGCGGUGAAAUGCGUAGAUAUAUGGAAGAACACCAGUGGCGAAAGCGGCUCUCUGGUCUGUAACUGACGCUGAGGUUCGAAAGCGUGGGUAGCAAACAGGAUUAGAUACCCUGGUAGUCCACGCCGUAAACGAC